GAUGAACGCUGGCGGCGUGCCUAAUACAUGCAAGUCGAGCGAACAGACGAGGAGCUUGCUCCUCUGACGUUAGCGGCGGACGGGUGAGUAACACGUGGAUAACCUACCUAUAAGACUGGGAUAACUUCGGGAAACCGGAGCUAAUACCGGAUAAUAUAUUGAACCGCAUGGUUCAAUAGUGAAAGACGGUUUUGCUGUCACUUAUAGAUGGAUCCGCGCCGCAUUAGCUAGUUGGUAAGGUAACGGCUUACCAAGGCAACGAUGCGUAGCCGACCUGAGAGGGUGGUCGGCCACACGGGAACUGAACCACGGUCCAGACUCCUGCGGGAGGCAGCAGUAGGGAAUCUUCCGCAAUGGGCGAAAGCCUGACGGAGCAACGCCACGUGAGUGAUGAAGGUCUUCGGAUCGUAAAACUCUGUUAUUAGGGAAGAACAAAUGUGUAAGUAACUAUGCACGUCUUGACGGUACCUAAUCAGAAAGCCACGGCUAACUACGUG
rnacentral:rRNA from 1 species